rnacentral:rRNA from 1 species
AACGUAGGAGACAAACGUUAUCCGGAGUUACUGGGCGUAAAGGGCGUGUAGGUGGUUUUAUAAGUCUGGCGUGAAAUUUCUCGGCUUAACCGAGGCAGGUCGUCGGAUACUAUGAGACUAGAGGACGGUAGAGGCGUGUGGAAUUCCGGGUGUAGUGGUGAAAUGCGUAGAGAUCCGGAGGAACACCAGUGGCGAAGGCGACACGCUGGGCCGUACCUGACACUGAUGCGCGACAGCAUGGGGAGCAACAGG